GGGGUAACGGCCUACCAAAGCGACGAUCAGUAGCCGGCCUGAGAGGGCGGACGGCCACAUUGGGACUGAGACACGGCCCAAACUCCUACGGAAGGCAGCAG
rnacentral:rRNA from 1 species